UAAUUUGGGCAACUCUGUUGCUGUUGUUAGCUUGAAUGUUAGAGAGGAAAGCGAGAACUUCCCUGGUGUAUCUCCUGCAUCAGCUUUAAAGGCAGAAACAUGUGCGACAUUUAAAGCCUCAGAGUGUCUGUCUCAUUCUUCUACUGAACCUGUUGAGACUUCCUUGUCAUUGAAAGAUACAUGUGAAACUGUAUCUGGAGUGAGAAAAGGGUUCACAGUAGCUGGAGAUGUUGCGAAGUACUCUAUCUCUUCCGCACAGGCAUUGGAUAUAACUUCUCCUGAUGCAGUGGUUAGCAAGUCUUUAAAGA
rnacentral:misc_RNA from 1 species